UUCGGGGGCGGGCCGGGCGGUCUGCCGAUGGGUAUGCACUGUUCGGCGCGUCCUUCUUUCCGGAGACCGCGCCUACUCUUAGCUGAGCGGGCGUGGGAGACGGAUCGUUUACUUUGAAAAAAUCAGAGUGUUUCAAGCAGGCAGCUCGCUCUUGCAUGGAUUAGCAUGGGAUAAUGAAAUAGGACUCUGGUGCUAUUUUGUUGGUUUCGAACACCGGAGUAAUGAUUAACAGGGACAGUCAGGGGCACUCGUAUUCCGUCGAGAGAGGUGAAAUUCUCAGACCAAUGGAAGACGAACCACUGCGAAAGCAUUUGCCAGGGAUGUUUUCACUGAUCAAGAACGAAAGUUAGGGGAUCGAAGACGAUCAGAUACCGUCGUAGUCUUAACCAUAAACCAUGCCGACUAGGGAUUGGAGGGUGUUCUAUUUGACCCCUUCAGCACCUUACGGGAAACUAAAGUCUUUGGGUUCCGGGGGGAGUAUGGUCGCAAGGCUGAAACUUAAAGGAAUUGACGGAAGGGCACCACCAGGAGUGGAGCCUGCGGCUUAAUUUGACUCAACACGGGGAAACUUACCAGGUCCAGACAUUGUUAGGAUUGACAGAUUGAGAGCUCUUUCUUGAUUCGAUGGGUGGGGGUGCA
rnacentral:rRNA from 1 species